rnacentral:rRNA from 1 species
AUGAACGCUGGCGGCGUGCCUAACACAUGCAAGUCGAACGAGAUGCGUAUUGGAAAGCUUCGGCCGGAAGAUGCGUUAUCUAGUGGCGGACGGGUGAGUAACACGUGGGUAACCUGCCUUAUGGAGGGGGAUAACAGAGAGAAAUCACUGCUAAUACCGCAUAAGCACACAUUGCCGCAUGGCAGAGUGUGAAAAGAUUUAUCGCCAUAAGAUGGACCCGCGUCUGAUUAGCCAGUUGGCAGGGUAAAAGCCUACCAAAGCAACGAUCAGUAGCCGAUCUGAGAGGAUGACCGGCCACAUUGGGACUGAGACACGGCCCAAACUCCUACGGGAGGCAGCAGUGGGGAAUAUUGCACAAUGGGGGAAACCCUGAUGCAGCGACGCCGCGUGAGUGAAGAAGUAUUUCGGUAUGUAAAGCUCUAUCAGCAGGGAAGAUAAUGACAGUACCUGACGAAGAAGCCCCGGCUAACUACGUG